AGAAACUAAUAUACACACUGUUACCUCUCAAACAGUUAAAGUUAACGGCUGUUUUUAACGGAUGUGUGGGCCAGAGUUACAAACUGAAAGCUAAUCGAAACUUAGGGUUACAAACUACCACGUUUCAAAGUAUGGGGUCUGAUUUGCUAAUGAGCCAAAAUAUGGGGUUACAAAGUGCAAUAAGCUCUUCGUUUUUCCAUUCACACACAUAUAUGAUGAUCUUUAAUUUUCAGAUUAGAAUUUAUAUGAGAAAAACAGCAAAAUAAAGAAAUAGUUUGAGACGGAUAAGGAUAGAAAUAAAACUAUAAAUGGGCUUCUGAGGAGAUAGCAAAUGACCGAGCGAGCAUCUAGAUAUAUGUUGCCGGGUUUCUUUGCUUUCAAAGUCAGUUCUGGCCUUCUCGGAUUCUAAAAUUUUGAAAAAUAUUUAUAUAUUUUUAAAUUUUGUGAAAACACUUUUAUAAUUUUAUAAAAUUUUGAAUGGUAAAAAAAUUAGGAGAUACAAAUAUUCUCAUGCCUCUUACUGGAUACGCCCCAGGGGAGCAGGUUUAUCUUCCAAUUCGAUUUUUGUAAUUGUCUUCCCCAGGGGAGCAGGUUUAUCUUCCAAUUCGAUUUUUGUAAUUGUCUUCCCCAGGGGAGCAGGUUUAUCUUCCAAUUCGAUUUUUGUAAUUGUCUGACCGCAGAAAUUCAGAUACACUAGUACACAUCUGGCACGUACAACCUUAAAAGUAGACAGACCCUAAUCAAAUAGAAUUGACAACAUUUU
rnacentral:lncRNA from 1 species